GAUGAACGCUGGCGGCGUGCUUAACACAUGCAAGUCGAACGGGAAACCUUUUAUUGAAGCUUCGGCAGAUUUAGCUGGUUUCUAGUGGCGGACGGGUGAGUAACGCGUGGGUAACCUGCCCUAUACAGGGGGAUAACAACCAGAAAUGGUUGCUAAUACCGCAUAAGCGCACAGGGCCGCAUGGUCCGGUGUGAAAAACUCCGGUGGUAUAGGAUGGACCCGCGUUGGAUUAGCCAGUUGGCAGGGUAACGGCCUACCAAAGCGACGAUCCAUAGCCGGCCUGAGAGGGUGAACGGCCACAUUGGGACUGAGACACGGCCCAGACUCCUACGGGAGGCAGCAGUGGGGAAUAUUGCACAAUGGGGGAAAGCCUGAUGCAGCGACGCCGCGUGAAGGAAGAAGUAUCUCGGUAUGUAAACUUCUAUCAGCAGGGAAGAUAGUGACGGUACCUGACUAAGAAGCCCCGGCUAACUACGUG
rnacentral:rRNA from 1 species